rnacentral:lncRNA from 1 species
GUCCGCCUCUCCGCCACGCCGGCGCCAGCGCUGUGUGCCUUUGCGAGGGCGGAGCUGCGUUCUCCUCAGCACAGACCCGGAGAGCAUUGCGAGGGCGGAGCUGAGUUCUCCUCUGCACACACUUCGGAGAUACAGCGAAGGCAGAGCAAUGUUCUCCUCAGCAGAGACCCGGGCGGGCGGGCCGGUGGCACCGCGAGGGCGGAGCUGCGUUCUGCUCUGCACAGACCUUGGGGGCACUGCCUCGCUUUGGGACAACUCGGGGCCGCAUGGACGGUGAAUAAAAUCCUUCCUGUUUGCAGCCCUGUUUGUGGUUGGUGGCAGCGAUGGACACUGCAGCCAGCCAGAGCGUAGAAAGGCGUCGGGUGAAAGAAGAUGGCCACGGAGACAGACAGCAGCGUGGUCAGAGUGGUAGGAGCCGGCCAUCAGCGAGAGCUGCUCCAUGCCUGGCUGCUGGGUCCUAGAGCCUGUGGCCCACUGGCUUGCCUCACUGUGGUUGGUGGUGGUGGUGACAGAGACUGCAGGACGACCAGAUGGCUUUUCUGGCUUUGCCCGCCCAGCUGCUCUGUGCCAGGAAGAGGAGGAGACACCUAGAGCCUGCGACACCAUGGCUCGCCUCGCUGCGGGUGGGCGGCAGUGACGGAGACUGCAGUGCGCCAGAGCGGUAGGAGAGCGGCUGCGCUAGGAGGGCAGGCGGCUGCAGCCAGGGUUGGGGGUCAGGCUUAGAGCGAUGGACGGGCUGCAGCAGUGGCCAGAUGGUAGGAGCCUUGUAAGGAGGGCUGGUGCAUUGGCAAUGGGCCUGGCUUUGCCCUGCGCCUGCCGUGGAUCUGGCCCUGUACUGCCCUGCCUUGCCCUGUACCUGCCCUACUGUUACUUGGACUCUCGGCCCUGUCCUGCUCUGGUCCCAUCCUGACCCUGUCUUGGCCCUGUGCUACCCUGUCCCUGCCCUGGUCUUGCCCUGGCACUGGCUCUGCCCUGAACCUGCACUGGCCUGACCUUGGCUCUGGCCGUGGCUCUGGCCCUGCCUCUUGUCCUGACCCUGGUCGUGUCAUGGCACUGGCCCUGCCAAUGGUCAUGGUCCUGCUCCUGUUCUGGCCCUGACCUGGCCUUGGACAUGUCCUGGCCCUGCUUUGGCCCAUCCCUGCCCUGGCCCCACCAUGGGCCUGCCUGUUCUGCCCUCUCCUGGCACUGACCUUGCCCUGUCAUGGCCCAGUGGUGCCAUUGCCCUGCCUUACCCUGCGCUGGUUGUGACUUGGCCCCGCUUGGUGCUGGCCGCUCCCUGGACCUGCCCUGGACCUGCCCUGACCCUGCCCUUGGCUUUUGCCCUGC